rnacentral:rRNA from 1 species
CGCUGAGUUUGAUCCUGGCUCAGGAUGAACGCUAGUGGCAGGCUUAACACAUGCAAGUCGAGGGGUAUAGUUCUUCGGAGCUAGAGACCGGCGCACGGGUGCGUAACGCGUAUGCAAUCUACCUUUUACAGAGGGAUAGCCCAGAGAAAUUUGGAUUAAUACCUCAUAGUAUGUGAGAAUCGCAUGGUUUUCACAUUAAAAGUUCCAACGGUAAAAGAUGAGCAUGCGUCCCAUUAGCUAGAUGGUAAGGUAACGGCUUACCAUGGCAACGAUGGGUAGGGGUCCUGAGA